rnacentral:rRNA from 1 species
UACGUAGGGUGCAAGCGUUAAUCGGAAUUACUGGGCGUAAAGCGUGCGCAGGCGGUUCGCUAAGACAGAUGUGAAAUCCCCGGGCUUAACCUGGGAACUGCAUUGGUGACUGGCAGGCUUUGAGUGUGGCAGAGGGAGGUAGAAUUCCACGUGUAGCAGUGAAAUGCGUAGAGAUGUGGAGGAAUACCGAUGGCGAAGGCAGCCUCCUGGGCCAACACUGACGCUCAUGCACGAAAGCGUGGGGAGCAAACAGG